rnacentral:tRNA from 1 species
UAGAGAGAUAGGAAUUGAACCUACAAUUAAGAGAUCAAAACUCUCCGUAA